GCAGCAGUGGGGAAUAUUGGACAAUGGGCGAAAGCCUGAUCCAGCCAUGCCGCGUGUGUGAAGAAGGUCUUCGGAUUGUAAAGCACUUUAAGUUGGGAGGAAGGGUUGUAGAUUAAUACUCUGCAAUUUUGACGUUACCGACAGAAUAAGCACCGGCUAACUCUGUGCCAGCAGCCGCGGUAAU
rnacentral:rRNA from 1 species